CCUACGGGCGGCAGCAGUGGGGAAUAUUGGGCAAUGGGCGCAAGCCUGACCCAGCAACGCCGCGUGAAGGAAGAAGGCUUUCGGGUUGUAAACCUCUUUUGUCAGGGACGAAGCAAGUGAUGCUACCUGACGAAUAAGCCACGACUAACUACGUGCCAGCAGCCGCGGUAAUACGUAGGCGGCAAGCGUUAUGCGGAUUUAGUGGGUGUAAAGGGCGAGUAGGCGGGAAUGCAAGUCAGAUGUGAAAACUAUGGGCUCAACCCAGGGACUGCAUUUGAUAUUGUAGUUCUUGAGUGCUGGAGAGGCAAGCGGAAUUCCUUGUGUAGCGGUGAAAUGCGUAGAUAUAAGGAGGAACACCAGUGGCGAAGGUGGAUUGCUGGACAGUAACUGACGCUGAGGCGCGAAAGCGUGGGGAGCAAACAGGAUUAGAUACCCGGGUAGUC
rnacentral:rRNA from 1 species